rnacentral:rRNA from 1 species
AGUGAACGCUGGCGGUAGGCCUAACACAUGCAAGUCGAACGGCAGCACAGUAAGAGCUUGCUAUUACGGGUGGCGAGUGGCGGACGGGUGAGGAAUACAUCGGAAUCUACUUUUUCGUGGGGGAUAACGUAGGGAAACUUACGCUAAUACCUCAUACGACCUACGGGUGAAAUCAGGGUAUCUUCGGACCUUGCGCGAUUGAAUGAGCCGAUGUCGGAUUAGCUAGUUGGCGGGGUAAAGGCCCACCAAGGCGACGAACCGUAGCUGGUCUGCGAGGAUGAUCAGCCAAACUGGACUGGGGACCGGGUCCAACCCCCUAGGGGAGCAAGCGGUGGGGAAUAUUGGACAAUGGGGGAAAGCCUGAUCCAGCCAGACCGCGUGGGUGAAGAAGGCUUUCGGGUUGUAAAGCCCUUUUGUUGGGAAAGAAAAGCAGCAGGUUAAUACCCCGCUGUUCUGACGGUACCCAAAGAAUAAGCACCGGCUAACUUCGUG